GGUUUGUAUGAUGGAGCGUGUGAGCUGCUGUUACAUUGUGUACAUUUAGACUAGUUUAAAUGUGGAGACUAUCUCAACCAACAGGUGUGUUUGUAACUACUGAGUGUGUAGACAGGCCCCACCCAUUCCAGACUGCUAUUUACGUAUACCUGGUUGUUUUAUGUUACCCCCAUCUUCUACUAUUUCAAAACUCCCUCCUUUUCACCUUGUUUUUCUGCCCUUAAGCCCCCCCAACCUCCCUCUUCUUCUUUUCCGUUCGAUCCAACAAAAAGAAAAAAAAGAAAAAGGAUUCAAAUAUAAUCAGUAUUAGUAAAGUUUAGAAUAAAAUACAAAAGGGGAUUAUAUUAAAUAACCCAUAUUGUGACAGGGACAAAUCUUCAGAAUCUGCUGGAAUUAUGAUGAUCGUGUUCGCAAUUAAAAAGUUACAAUAAAUUAAAGAACACAAACACUGGAGCUCUGGUGUUACAGGGUUAAUUAAAUGAAUCUUCACUUAGCAGCUGAAAAAAGUUACUAUUAAUCAAAUCACUUGGAAGAAUCAAAGAAAGCAUGAACUGGUGACUUAAAAUGGAGUACAUUCAUGUCCAUUUAUUAGUAUUUGUUGUUCUUGGAUGACACCCCAGUGAUAGACUUUUCUGGUUUUUCAACCAUGAGGAACCCAAAGGAACUUUCAAAAUGGGCAGCAGUCUAAGAUCUGUUGGGGGACCCUGAGCUCACUGGAGACAAUCUUUCAGACAGGCUUUUCUCUGGAACUUCAGCCUGAAGGGACAUGCUUGUAACACCUCCCCGGGGAGGGGCCCAGGAGACCUCUGGAGAGCU